GCGGAAGUGGCGAAAUUGGUAGACGCACCAGAUUUAGGUUCUGGCGCCGCAAGGUGUGGGAGUUCAAGUCUCCCCUUCCGCACCA
rnacentral:tRNA from 3 species